AAUUCCAAAUAGCCCAACUGCUACAACUCUCCCUCUCUCUCUCUCUCUCUCUCUCUCUCUCAAGUCUCAACCACCACACGACUUACGAUGCAGCCCACGAAGUCACGCCGGAAAGUGGCGCCAAAUACCGCCACAGGCGCCAAAACCACCGCAACCGAUAACGGAAGCGCCGACUCAGCAGACAAGCUAGACCAGCUCCUCCUUUCUUCCGCCAUCUGCAACAACGAGGACAUAGGACCCUUCAUCCGCAAGGCCUUUACAUCGGGCAAGCCUGAGACUCUCCUCCUCCAUCUCCGCCACUUCGCUCGCUCGAAAGAGUCCGAGAUCGAAGAAGUCUGCAAAGCUCACUACCAGGACUUCAUCCUCGCCGUCGACGACCUCAAGUCUCUCCUCUCCGACGUCGAAUCACUCAAAUCCUCUCUCUCCACUUCGAACUCCAAGCUCCAGUCCGUCGCCGGACCGCUUCUCGACUCGCUCGACUCGUUCCUCGAGUCGCGAACUGUGUUGCAGAAUGUCAAUCUCGCCCUUGGCUCAAUCUCCACCUGUAUCCGCUUGAUCGAGAUCUGUUCCCGAUCGAACUACCACUUGUCUCGGAACAACUUCUACAUGGCGUUGAAGUGUUUGGACUCGAUCGAGACCGAGUUGCUGGACAAAACGCCGUCGUCUACGCUCAGGCGAAUGCUGGAGAAGAAGAUCCCGGAGAUUCGCGCGCAUAUCGAGAGGCUAGUGAGCAAAGAGUUCGGCGAUUGGCUCGUCGAGAUCCGAGUCGUGAGCCGGAACUUAGGUCAGUUAGCCAUAGGCCAAGCCUCCUCGGCUCGUCAGCGCGAAGAGGAUCUUCGAAUCAAGCAGCGCCAAGCAGAGGAGCAGAGUCGGCUUAGUCUUCGUGACUGUGUUUACGCUCUUCAAGACGAAGAUGAAAACGAAGACGAUCAACACGGCCAACACGACGGCGUUGGGCUCAGUAACGGACUUGGAAACGACGGUCAUAGUGGUGGUUUCGAUUUGACUCCUCUGUACAGAGCUUAUCAUAUAAACCAAACCCUAGGACUCGAGGAUCGGUUCAAGCAGUACUACUUCGAGAAUCGGAAGCUCCAAUUGACUUCAGAUUUUCAGGUAUCGUCUAUGACUCCAUUUCUAGAAUCUCAUCAAACAUUUUUCGCCCAAAUAGCCGGGUUUUUCAUAGUUGAAGAUCGAGUUUUGAGGACUAGUGGAGGUUUGAUUUCGAAAAUGGAAGUUGAGAAUUUGUGGGAAACUGCUAUGAGUAAAAUGUGUGGGGUUUUAGAGGACCAAUUUUCUAGGAUGCAAACCGCGAAUCACUUGUUGUUGAUUAAGGACUAUGUGAGUUUGUUAGGUGUCACAUUGAGGAGGUAUGGGUACCCGGUUGAUGCUUUGUUAGAUGUAUUGAGUAAACAUAGGGAUAAGUAUCAUGAAUUGUUGUUGUCGGAUUGUCGGAAACAGAUAGCCGAGGCACUUGCGGCUGAUAAGUUUGAGCAAAUGUUGAUGAAGAAGGAAUACGAGUAUUCGAUGAAUGUGCUCUCGUUUCAGCUUCAAACGUCGGAUAUUGCUCCUGCAUUUCCUUACGUGGCGCCAUUUUCGUCCACAGUGCCAGAUUGUUGUAGGAUUGUGAGGUCUUUUAUUGAGGAUUCCGUGAGUUUCAUGUCGUAUGGUGGGCAGUUGGACUUUUAUGAUAUGGUUAAGAAGUACUUGGAUAGGUUGUUGGGUGAGGCUUUAGAUGAGGCUUUGUUGAAGCUUAUCAAUACGGCCGUUCAUGGGGUUUCACAAGCAAUGCAGAUGGCGGCAAAUAUGGCUGUCAUGGAGCGUGCUUGUGAUUUCUUCUUUCGUCAUGCUGCACAGCUUUCAGGGAUUCCCUUGAGGAUGGCUGAGAGGGGUAGGAGACAGUUUCCAUUGAGUAGAGCCCGUGAUGCAGCAGAAGAUAUGCUAUCAGGGUUGUUGAAAGCGAAGGUUGAUGGGUUCAUGACGUUGAUUGAGAACGUGAAUUGGAUGGCCGAUGAGCCACCGCAAAGUGGGAAUGAAUAUGUGAAUGAGGUGAUGAUAUAUUUGGAGACUCUGGUUUCUACUGCUCAGCAGAUAUUGCCAGCUCAGGUACUUAAAAGGGUUUUACAAGAAGUUCUUUCUCACAUUUCCGAGAAGAUUGUGGGAGCUUUAUAUGGGGAUUCAGUUAAGAGGUUUAAUGUGAAUGCGAUCAUCGGGAUUGAUGUUGAUGUUCGGUUGCUGGAAUCAUUUGCAGAUAAUCAAGCUCCUAUUUUCUCGGAUGGGGAUGCAAAUCAGUUGAAAUUGGCACUUUCUGAGUCCCGGCAAUUGAUUAAUUUGCUAUUGAGCAAUCAUCCGGAUAAUUAUCUAAAUCCAGUAAUCAGGGAGAGAAGUUAUAAAGCUUUGGACCACAGGAAAGUUGUGACUAUUUCAGAAAAGUUGAGGGAUCCUUCAGAUCGGCUAUUUGGAACCUUUGGGUCACGGGGAGCCAAGCAAAACCCAAAAAAGAAGUCUCUGGAUUCUUUGAUAAAAAGACUUAGGGAUGCUAGCUAAUCGGAACAGAGCUGGAAGAUCGUGUGGAUAAAGGAGGUCCAAAUGGAAGUUCAAAUGAUUGGGGUUAUUCGCCAAACAUGCUGAGCUUAUGACUGAGUAAAAGAAGAAAGAACUCGCUCACUAUAAUUACCCCAUCUCAUGCACAAGAACCUUAAGAAGCCUUAGUUAAAUAUUCGAUUUCUUGUACAAUGCAUUUUCUUUGGAAAGAGGAGUAAUUCUGAGUAGUGACCCAUACUACUGCAUGUCAGUGAAAUCGCUUGGGAAAACCGAAAAUGGAUCAAAUUCCUUGGCAGAGGAGGAUGGAUCUUCAGGAUAUUGUGCAGCAGUGCCAGCCUUAAACUUUGCAGAUUUCCAUCCUAUGAUUGGACUCAAUUUGGGUUUGUUUGGUGCACAAUUUCUUUUGUAGAUCUUGCUGUUAUAUAAUUAGCUUUUGCAUAUAAAAAUAAAAAUCAAUAUUGGAGGUCUA